rnacentral:rRNA from 1 species
AAAGGAAUUGACGGGGGCCCGCACAAGCAGUGGAGCAUGUGGUUUAAUUCGAAGCAACGCGAAGAACCUUACCAGGUCUUGACAUCCCUCUGACAGGUUUAGAGAUAAACCCUUUCUUCGGAACAGAGGAGACAGGUGGUGCAUGGUUGUCGUCAGCUCGUGUCGUGAGAUGUUGGGUUAAGUCCCGCAACGAGCGCAACCCCUAUACUUAGUUGCCAGCAUUAAGUUGGGCACUCUAAGUAGACUGCCGGUGACAAACCGGAGGAAGGCGGGGAUGACGUCAAAUCAUCAUGCCCCUUAUGACCUGGGCCACACACGUGCUACAAUGGAUGGUACAGAGGGAAGCGAAGCCGCGAGGUGAAGCCAAUCCCAGAAAGCCAUUCUCAGUUCGGAUUGUAGGCUGCAACUCGCCUACAUGAAGCUGGAAUUGCUAGUAAUCGCGGAUCAGAAUGCCGCGGUGAAUACGUUCCCGGGCCUUGUACACACCGCCCGU